rnacentral:rRNA from 1 species
CAAUAGCGUAUAUUUAAGUUGCUGCAGUUAAAAAGCUCGUAGUUGGAUUUCGGGUGGGAAUGGCCGGUCCGCCGUUUCGGUGUGCACUUGCUACGCCCACCUUGCUGCCGGGGACGUGCUCUUGAGUUCACGCUCGGGACACGGAGUCGGCGAGGUUACUUUGAGUAAAUUAGAGUGUUCAAAGCAGGCCUACGCUCUGAAUACAUUAGCAUGGAAUAACACGAUAGGACUCUGGCCUAUCUUGUUGGUCUGUAGGACCGGAGUAAUGAUUAAGAGGGACAGUCGGGGGCUUUCGUAUUUCAUUGUCAGAGGUGAAAUUCUUGGAUUUAUGAAAGACGAACUACUGCGAAAGCAUUUGCCAAGGAUGUUUUCAUUAA